GAUGAACGCUGGCGGCGUGCCUAAUACAUGCAAGUCGAGCGAACAGACGAGGAGCUUGCUCCUCUGACGUUAGCGGCGGACGGGUGAGUAACACGUGGAUAACCUACCUAUAAGACUGGGAUAACUUCGGGAAACCGGAGCUAAUACCGGAUAAUAUAUUGAACCGCAUGGUUCAAUAGUGAAAGACGGUUUUGCUGUCACUUAUAGAUGGAUCCGCGCCGCAUUAGCUAGUUGGUAAGGUAACGGCUUACCAAGGCAACGAUGCGUAGCCGACCUGAGAGGGUGGUCGGCCACACUGGAACUGAGACACGGUCCAGACUCCUACGGGAGGCAGCAGUAGGGAAUCUUCCGCGAUGGGCGAAAGCCUGACGGAGCAACGCCGCGUGAGUGAUGAAGGUCUUCGGAUCGUAAAACGCUGUUAUUAGGGAAGAACAAAUGUGUAAGUAACUAUGCACGUCUUGACGGUACCUAAUCAGAAAGCCACGGCUAACUACGUG
rnacentral:rRNA from 1 species